UUUCAGGUUGAGAUAUCUGUUGCAUAGAUGAGAUUUUGCAUUUUGCACAAGUUUACUUUUUGGAGUUUCAUGAUACGUAAAUGGGAGCGUUUUUCUCCCAGCGUUAUGAAGACUGUGAUUUUGGAUAUGAAGUAGAAGCAUAAUGAUAUGACAACUUAACCAUGAUGACUGUUUUUUCCUGUUCUCUUUGCUCAACAAUUUUAAUUUGUUUUUGAAUAUCCUGUGAAUAUCGAGGAAGAAGUGCACAAGAAGAUGAAAUAUUUGUGCAGUGUAUAAUCUACAUUUGAUUGGAUUUAACAGACAUAAUAGUAUUGGAUUUGUGAUAAUGUUUGGACUAUGUCUGUGUG
rnacentral:lncRNA from 1 species